rnacentral:lncRNA from 1 species
UUCAAUAUUCCGUGGAAGACGGUAAAGAUGUGUGAUCGAGGAAAAAGCCCAUUUGAACCUUGGGAAUAGAUUAGAAUACAAGUGACAUGUCACUAGGAUACUUGACUUCCGAACUCGUUGAGUCCGAGUUCAUGAGAUGUAACUAGGCAUCCGAGCUCGUUGAGUUGAGUCCGAGUUCACUUAUGGAUGCGAACGCCCGAGCUCAUUGAGUUGAGCCCGAGUUCACUUAUGGGCGGGUUACAUGGUAGCUUGGCUACAUAAGUUCCGCAGGCUAUUGAGUUUGUCUAGCUGCGGGUAUGGCUCUUAUGUUCAUGAGAUCCGCGUAUUCGAAUUAUAUUCCGAUGUGUUCAACGGGUGAAUCUUACGUGAAUAAGAAGAAGGCCUAAAAUGAAGGUGACAUGUUGGUAAGUGUGGUAAAUGAGAAAAUUUGACAGGUAUGUGCUUAAACCCUCGGGUUGAAAACUUGGUAUGAUAAAAUCGUAGAAAUAUAUUAAAUGUAAAUGAAACAUGAAUGUCUUGGUGCUAUUUAUGCAAAUGAUGUUUUAUGUGAGAUAGUGUGAUUAUGUUACUUGCUAUUUGCAUGUAAACUUACUAAGCAUUUCUGCUUACUCCCUCCUUUUCUUUCAUUGUAGUUUUGACAAGCCGGCUUGAGAAUUGGGAUAGGUCGAAGACUCGUUCACACUAUCCGAAGGCUUAAAUUGGUAAAAUGGCUUGUGUAUUUUGAAUGUGGCAUGUAUGGAAAAACACUCACUUUGUGUAAUUGAUCUUAUGAUAUGACUAUGGUUUGGUAAGAAAAGGGUUUGUAAAUGAUUAGCCAUUGGAAUGGCCAAUCUAAGUCAUAUUUGAUGUUAUGUAUGUUUAAAAUGCUAUUUAGUCCAUGAAAAUCCUUAGUAAAGUGAAAUUUGCCAUAAAACAGAAUUUGACAGCAGCAGUGAUGUAAAUUUGAAAAAUAACUAAAACUAGUAGAAAUGGAAUUAAAUGAUGAGUAAGUUAUGAAAUUGAAUCUUAAUGAGUCUAUUUUCGUAUGGAUUGAACAAAACAGGUAUAUGAAUUAUAUUUUAUGAUAUAUUUAAAUUUUUGUGAAACAAGGCCAGAGUGAUUUCUAGAUCCCCUAUUCCGACUUUAAAAAUUCAUCAUAAAUUGUACAAAGAUAAUUAGAAGUCAUAAUUUAUAUGUAAAGAUUCCUUAUUGAGUCUAGUUUUAAUAUAAAUAAACUUAAUAUAAUUGAAGUUCUGUACAGAGAGAUAUCUAAUUUGUAAUAUACAUAGGUCAGAGUAGUCAAACCCUGAAAUAGGGGAGAAUUUAACUAAUAAACUAUACUAAUUGGCUUGACCAAAAACUCUAGAAAAAAAUUAGUAAAUAUAAAUAUGAGUCUAGUUUUAGGGAAAAUUUAUGGAAUUGGAUUUAGAGUUUUGGAACUCGAGAUAUGAAUUUUUAAGCGACUAUGACACAGAUUGCUAGCUUGACUGGAAAUUUUAAAAAUAAAUUGUUUGAGCUGUUUAAGUAAUGAAUUAAGUCUGUUAACACCUCGUGUUCAACUCCGGCGACGGUCUUGGGUACGGGGCGUUACAUUUGGUGGUAUCAGAGUAAAUUUAGUCGGUUCUCAGACUAAUGUGUCGUAUGUACGGGUUUUGCUAUACAUGUCAUAUAUAUAUUGUAAUAGUGUGACGACUUCUGACCUUUUAAAUGAUUUUUUUAAAGUAAAUGGAUCCCGAUCCAGUUGUGGCUGAUGAUGUAGAGAGUAAUGCACCAGCUCCGGCUGAAGGGGAGGUGCCAACUGAAAAUCCACCUCCUACUGUUGGUCAUGGAGGAGGAGAAGGGGCUCAGGAAGCCUUUCUCUAGAUGAUGAGUGCCUGGUAUACUGAGUUCGUUCGUACGAACCCGAAUGCACAACCUCCCCCACCUCCCCCGAUUCCUCAACCUGUACCCUUGAUGCCAUAAGGUGUAGAUCUGAUGAAAUUUCACAGAACUCCAAUUGACAGAAUCCGUAAACAAGGGGCCGAAGAAUUCAGGGCAAAUAUUGAUGAUGAUGCCGAGAAAGCAGAGUUUUGGCUCGAGAAUUCUAUUCGAGUAUUUGAUGAAUUGUCUUGUUCACCUGAGGAAUGCUUGAAAUGUGCUAUAUCAUUGUUGAGGGAUUCAGCUUAUCAUUGGUGGAAGACAUUGACUUCAGUAGUACCGAAAGAGAAAGUAACUUGAGAGUUCUUUCAAGAAGAAUUUCGGAAGAAAUAUAUCAGUGAAAGAUUUAUUGAUCAGAAGCGUAAAGAGUUUCUUGAAUUAAAGCAGGGGAACAUGAUAGUUACUGAAUACGAAAGGGAGUUUGUCAGGUUGAGUAAGUAUGCUAGAGAAUAUAUUCCUACAGAAGCUAAAAUGUGCAGACGAUUUGAAGACGGACUCAAUGAAGACAUCAAAGCAUUUGUUGGGAUUCUUGAAUUAAAAGAAAUGGUAGUACUAGUUGAUCGAGCUUGCAAGGCUGAAGAACUACUUAAAGAGAAGAAAAAGGAAGAGGCUGAGACUAGAAAUUGGAAGAAAAGACCGACGAGCAGUUCAUUCUCACAGCAAUCCAGAAAAUCUAGAAAUAUGAAUCCUCGUUCACAGGUUUCGGCUAGACAAUCAUAUGGAAAUUCUAAGAAGCAAAAUGUGGGUCUUAAAUCUCAGACUACUUCUGUGGCUAGUGUGGGAAAUACGAGAUUUGUUAAGCCUGAGUACCAGCGGUGUGGCAGAAAUCAUUUUGGCCCAUGUAGAGCGAAUGAAUGUUUUCGGUGUGGUUCUCUGGAUCAUUUUAUUAGAGACUGCCCAGAGAGAGCUGAGAAAGAAAAAUUUCAGAAUGUAAAAGCUAGUGGUACAGACUCGAGGGGAAGAUAUUCGAGAAAAGCUGGAAAUGAAGCAAACAGCAAAAAUGUAGCCAGAGAUUCAGCAGCUAAAUCUGAAGCAAGGGCUCCAGCUAGAACUUAUGCUAUAAAGGCACGUGAAGAUGCUUUAUCACCCGAUAUGAUUACUGGUAUAUUUUCUCUUUAUGAUGUUAAUGUUAUUGCUUUGAUUGAUCCCGGUUCUACUCAUUCAUAUGUAUGCAUGAAACUUGUGUCUAGUAUGAAUAUACCUGUUGAGAACACAGAAUUUAUGAUUAGAGUGUCGAAUCCGUUAGGCAAAUGUGUGAUAGUUGAUAAAGUAUGCAAGAAAUGCCCUUUAAUGAUUCGAGGUCAUUACUUUCCAGCCGACUUGAUGUUGUUACCGUUUGAUGAAUUUGAUGUUAUUUUGGGUACGGAUUGGUUGACAUUGCAUGAUGCUAUAAUAAAUUGCAAAGAAAAGGUUAUAGAAUUAAAGUGUGAAAGUGGUGAAAUUUUGCGGGUUGAACCAAACAAAUCAGAGGCAUUAUCGAGUAUGAUUUCUUCGAUGUCGACUCAGAGAUAUUUGAGAAAGGGUUAUGAAGCUUAUUUGGCAUAUGUAAUUAAUACAAAAGAAGUUGAAAAUAAAGUUGAAUCAGUGCCAGUUGUGUGUGAAUUUGCGGAUGUAUUUCCAGAAGAAUUGUCGGGUUUGCCUCUAGUCAGGGAAGUAGAAUUUGGUAUUGAUUUGAUACCGGGAACAGCUCCGAUUUCGAUUGCUCCAUAUAGAAUGGCACCAGCAGAUUUGAAAGAAUUAAAGUCACGGUUGCAAGAGUUGACUGAUAAAGGCUUUGUGAGACCGAGUUUUCACCUUGGGUGCUCCUGUGUUAUUUGUGAAAAAGAAGGAUGGUUCUAUGAGAUUGUGUGUUGACUAUCGGCAAUUAAACAAGGUGACAAUCAAAAACAAGUAUCCGUUGCCAAGGAUUGAUGAUUUGUUUGAUCAGCUAAAAGGAGCGACAUGGUUUUCAAAGAUUGACUUGAGAUCUGGGUAUUACCAGCUACGAGUAAAUAGAGUCGGAUGUGCCUAAAACUGCUUUUAGAACAAGGUACGGUUAUUAUGAUUUUUAGUUAUGCCAUUCGGGUUGACAAAUGCUCCUGCUGUGUUUAUGGAUUUAAUGAAUCGCAUAUUUCGGCCAUACUUGGACAAAUUUGUUGUGGUGUUUAUAGAUGAUAUUUUAAUUUAUUCAAAAGAUGAGACAGAGCAUGCUGAGCAUUUGAGGAUAGUUUUGCAAACUUUGAGAGAUAAGCAGCUGUAUGUUAAGUUUAAUAAAAGUGAAUUUUGGCUCUGGGAAGUUAGAUUUUUGGGUCAUAUUGUUUCAGGUGAUGGUAUACGGGUCGAUCCUAGUAAGAUUUCAUUCAUUGUUGAUUGGAAACCACCAAAAAAUGUAACCGAGGUUAGAAGUUUCUUGGGGCUAGUUGGGUAUUAUCGGCGGUUUGUAAAUGGAUUUUCUAUAACUGCUGCUCUUAUGACUAGACUACUCCGAAAGAAUGUUAAAUUUGAAUAGACAGAAGAAUGUCAACAGAGUUUUAAAAAAUUGAAAAAGUUAUUAAUUGAAGCACCAAUGUUGGUACAACCCGAAUCAGGUAAAGAAUUUGUGGUGAAUAGUGAUGUUUCUCGAAAUGGCUUAGGAUGUGUACUUAUGCAAGAAGGAAAAGUGGUGGCUUAUGCUUCGAGGCAGUUAAAAUCUCACGAAAAGAAUUAUCCUAUUCAUGAUUUGGAAUUGGUUGCUAUAGUGUUUGCUUUGAAGAUUUGGCGACAUUAUUUGUAUGGUGAAAAGUGCCGAGUAUAUACCGACCACAAAAGUCUUAAGUACUUGAUGUCACAAAAAGACUUGAAUUUGAGACAGCGAAGAUGGUUGGAGUUAUUGAAAGAUUACAAGCUUGUUAUUGAUUACCAUCCGGGAAAAGCGAAUGUGGCUGCCGAUGCUUUAAGCAGAAAAUUGCUAUUUGCUUUGAGAACUAUGAACACUCGGUUAAAGAUAUCAAAUAAUGGUUCGAUUCUAGCAGAGUUAAGAGCAAGACCGAUGUUUUUACAAGAUAUUUCUGAAGCUCAGAAAAAUGAUCAAGAUUUGCAAGCCAAGAGAAAGCAGUGUGAAGCUGAUACGGGAUCAGAUUUCAGAAUUGGAUCUGAUGGUUGCUUGAUGUUUAAAAAUCGGAUUUGUGUACCAAAAAAUGAUGAGUUGAUUCAAAAGAUUUUGCAUGAAGCACAUAAUGGUUGUUUGGUGGUUCAUCCGGGCAGUACGAAAAUGUAUAAUGACUUGAAGAAAAUGUACUGGUGGAGUGGAAUGAAAAGAGAUAUUUCCGAGUUUGUAUCAAAGUGCUUAGUUUGUCAGCAAGUGAAAGCUGAACACCAAGUAACUUUGGGAUUACUCCAGCCUAUCAUGGUUCCUGAAUGGAAAUGGGAUCGGAUUACUAUGGAUUUUAUAUCAGGGUUGCCGUUAACUCCGGGGAAGAAAAAUGCCAUCUGGGUAAUAGUUGACAGACUGACUAAAUAGGCUUAUUUUAUUUCGGUACGUACGGAUUAUUCUCUUAAUAAGUUGGCUGAAUUGUAUAUCCGUGAGAUUGUUAGACUUCAUGGAAUACCUUUGUCAAUCAUUUCGGAUAGAGAUCCGAGAUUUACUUCACGGAUUUGGCAAAAGUUGCAAGAGGCAUUAGGUACAAAGUUAAAUUUCAGCAUUGCCUUUCAUCCACAAACUGAUGGACAAUCAGAGAGAGUAAUUCAGAUUCUUGAAGACAUGCUCAGAUGUUGCGUAUUGGAAUUUCAAGGUAGGUGGGAAAGGUACUUACCGUUGGUAGAAUUUUCUUAUAAUAAUAGUUAUCAGACGAGUUUGAAGAUGGCACCUUAUGAAGCAUUGUAUGGUCGUAAAUGUUAGACGCCAUCGUAUUGGACUGAACUCAAGGAAAAUCAGAUUUAUGGAGUUGAUCUAAUAAAAAAACCGAAGAAAAGGUGAAAGUGAUUCGAGAUUGUUUGAAAGUUGCUUCAGAUAGACAGAAAUCUUAUGCGGAUUUGAAACGAAGGGAAAUCGAGUUUCAAGUUGGUGAUAAGGUAUUUUUGAAAGUGUCUCCAUGGAAGAAAGUCCUUAGAUUUGGACAGAAGGGCAAGUUAAGUCUGCGUUUAUUGGACCAUAUGAAAUAAUUGAAAAAGUUGGAACGGUAGCAUAUCGGCUAGCAUUACCACCUGAAUUAGAGAAGAUUCAUGAUGUGUUCCACAUAUCUAUGUUACAUCGGUAUCGUUCGGAUCCUUCACAUAUAAUUUCACCGACAGAAAUUGAACUACGACUGGAUAUGACUUACGAAGAAGAACCGAUUAAGAUUUUAGCUUGAGAAGUCAAACAAUUAAGAAAUAAAAGUGUUGCUCUCGUGAAAGUAUUGUGGCAAAAGCACAGGGUAGAAGAGAUGUAACACCCCAAACCCGGCCUAGACGUUAUGACCGGAUCCGACGUGCCACAUCAAAAAUGUUAAAAACAUUUUUCCAUUCUAAGUUCAGAAAAUCGUACUUGAUGUUCAAAGGUUUAAUUCAUUAAGGGUUAAAGUGAAUGGAAGCUGUGCACCAGGUAGGAAACCGAAAAAGAGAAGGUGAGUCCAUCGGACUGCUUAAGUACCAAGCUCUUUCGGAUCCAAUCCUAGACAUGCACACCGCCAUUGCCACACUCCAACAUCGUGUAUUUCCUUAAGUUACCUUUGUAAUUAUGUUCAUUUGAGAAUAAAACAUAUUUAAUUUUGGGAAAACGUUAUCACAGUAGAAGCCUUGUUCGAGAUCGUGUUACUUUGAAAUCAAUUUAUGGUUUUUGAGAACGAACCCUAGAUCUAGCCCAUUUUGAUAGUUAAUAUAAUUUAAGAUCAUCAUGAUAAGUUAUAAAUCAAAACCCAAAAAAAAUAAUCAUAAGCGGCCUUAUUACAUAACAAAAGCCAAAUCAUCAAAGUAAAGAAAAUUGAAGUCCAAAUCACCAGAAGAAAUCCAUAUUGCAGAACGAGUGGCCACUCCGAAUCCCUCGCAGCUCCAAGCCCACUAUGGUUGGGGAUUACCUGCAUGGAUGAAGAUAGGGGAUGAGUUUGGGGAAACUCAGUGUGUAAAAUUAACCCAACCAUAGCCCGUAUUUGCUCAAACCACAGAAACAGAAUAGAUUGGCCUUAGCCCAGAACAGUAUACAGAAUUAAGCCCAUAAGCCCAUAACAGAUCAGAUCAGAUAUUUCAUGUAUAUGUAAAACCCAACCCAUAACCAACCACAUACACCCCCUUACCAACCUUUCACCAUGUGAGGAGACUACUCGACCCACCCAAUCGCUACAUGCCACAGAAUUAUGCAGCAUGGCUGCCAGAACAGAUAAUGUGACAGAGUCACCAGAUACAGAUAAUCGUGGUAGAACCACCAGAACAGAUAUAUGUGGCAGAGCCACCAGAUCAAAUAAUUUGUGGCAUAGCCACCAGGACGCUUCCUCCAUAAUAUAACCCAUGUCCCCAUGCAACAAAUAUUCAUUCAUGGCAUACAUCAUACAGAUUUAAAUCAACAUGCUUUUCAGACAAAAUUAACCUAGGGGCAUAUUGGUCAUUUACACCUAGGGGUAUCAUGGUAAUUUUCCAUACAUAAGGGCAUUGUCGUAAUUUAGCUACUUUUAGGGUUUUCAUGCACAUCCUAUCCAUUUACGUACUAUCAGAAUACUUACCGCGCAUACUUACCAAAUUGAGCCCGUUGGCCCAUGAACCCGAUUUUUGGCCCAUUAAGCCCACAUUAUCAAAAUGUAUGAAAUCGCACGUACUGCAGUUUAUUACCUUCAGAAUACCAAACAUGCAAACCCAACUAUCUUACGAGCAUUCGCACACUCGUAAUUUCCCAAAAUACCAACUUUCCGGUAUUUCAGCUUUUCGGCUUUUGCCGAUCUAGUCUAUGAGAGGGUGUCAGUUACACACCUGUUUUAUGACGAUUUGCUGACGAGGACCACGCACGAACUGCCUACAAUUAUAAUACUACCACGUUAAUCUUACUACCGAAACGAACUACAUAUUAACUUCUUACCAUAUUCGGCCAACAACACCUUAGGCCUUAGCGUUCCUACCUUUGCCGAAAAUAACGUCUCGAACCAGAUCCGCUCGCUCCACUUGUCCAAGCCCUUGAUCAACAGCCUCUUAAUCACACUAUUACCGAAAUAAUACUAUUAUCACAACCUCUUAGGGCUACAAGUCCAAAAACGACAACCUCCCUAACCUUUUAGGGAUUUCGGCUUUUCUUAAAAUAUGAAAGAUAGACUAAGUUGGAAAGACUUACCACCGAUUCUUCCAGUCAAUGUUCCCCCUUAGUUCCUACUUGAUUCUGAUGCAGUUCUAAGCCCUCAAACGAUAACAAAAGUCGAGCCCUCAGUGAUCUCAGUAUUCGGCUAUGUCCCUAGGAUAGUGUGGGAGUUUCGGCUUUUUGCAAAAGUGUAGAGAAAGAUAAAAUAUGAGGGUUUUUACUUGUGGUAUUGUCGAAAGAAACCUGGGUUUUAGAGGUUAAGAGAAUCGGCCAAAGAUGAUGAGAAAAAUAAGAGAUUUGGCUAGGGAAAAAUCGGUACAAAAGGAGUCAAGUUUUCGGGAUUUCGGGAUUUGAGGCAAUCGGCUAUAGUCUUAAAAAUAAUGGAAGGAAGGUGGUAUAGAGUAGGGUGGCUGAAGGAUUUGGCUAUGGGGAAAAGAAGAAGAAAAGAAUAAGUGGAUGGAGAGAAGAGAAAAAGAAAAGAAGAGGAGAAUGGUCAGGAAACGGCACCACUUACCACUAAUGCCGAAUUUAUACUAGGACUAACCCUAGCUGAAAUUCCCAUACUAAAGUCCCUUGGCCGGCCACCUCUUGUUCCUUGAUCAGCUCCUAGAUUUCCUCCCUUAUCUGCUCCUAAAUUCUAUCCCUUAUCAACUCCUAAAUCCUAUCCCUUAUCAACUCCUAAAUCCUCUCCUGAUAGACUUUCACUUCAGUUCCACUGCUUACCUUUUCUGAACAUAAAAACAAUAAUUCCCUUAAUAUGUUGUCAUUGUGACUUGAACCUCAGCUCUCCCUAGCAUCCACACGCCACUUUUAUAGCCUUGCCAGUGGUGCCACACGCCACUUUGCCACUUGCUUCCUUAUGUCUUAUUUUACCCAAAUAAUAUUUAAGAACCCUGUUAACCAGAACCCCUUUUUCCUCUUAUGGAUUAAAAUCACCUAAAAUUACCGAGUUUUAGCUUAAGCUUGGGCCUUCUAGAGCCCACUAACAUAAUUAAACAUACGCCAAACAGUCAAAACACAAAAAUUCCAAAAUUCACCAAAAUUAACAGAAGUCCCAAAAAUUGGGGCGUUACAAGAGACUACAUGGGAACCUGAAGAAACUAUGAGAAACCAAUACCCACACCUAUUUACCGGUAAGAUUUUCGAGGACGAAAAUCCUUAAAGGGAGGGAGAGUUGUAAUAUCCCGAAUUAGGGCCUAAUCAGAAUAGUGGUUUCGUGACCACAAAUUUGAGAUAGAAAUAAUUAUUUUAUAAUUAUUUUGAUGUUUAUGAUAUGAUUGCAUGAUUGUGUGAAAAUUUCGUGAUGAAAUCCUAUGCCUAAAGUGCUUAAAUUGAAAUUAGGGACUAAAUCGAAUAAUUUGCAAAACUUACAUUCUAGGAGUUUUUAGUAUGAAAUUGUUUUGGAAUAUUAAUGAGGAGGUCUUAAAUAGCAAUUUGACCAAUUUUUAAGUCUAUGGACAAAAAUUGGACAUGGAUGGAAUUUUUGGAAAGUUUAGUAGUAAGGGCAUUUUGGUCAUUUAGUUAUUAAAAUGAAUUAAAAACAAAAUUAAAAGCCAAUUUUUGUCCAUCUUCUUCAUUAGGUAGAAAUUUCAAGGGUUAUCCAUAUUUAGUGUUUGUUUCAACCAUUCAAGCUCCAUAGUAAGUGAUUCCAAGCCCCGUUUUUAAUGUUCUUUAUGUUUUUGGAAUCCCGAAGCUCGAUUAAGCUUAUGCUAGCAAUAAUUCAACCUAGGGUUCAUAUUUGGAAAAAUACCCAUAGGUGAAAUUUGUGUAUUUUGGUGUUUUAUGAUAUAAUAUGAGGUUUUAAAUUAUGUUAGACAACUUGUACUACUCGGUUUUAAGUGAAAACGAGUAAAAGGGCUUAAUCAGUAAAAAUACCUAAUAGUCAUAAGUACAUGUUAGAGUGUGAAUUUGACAUUACCAUAGAAGGGAAAAAUGAUCAGCAUGUCAUAAAACAUAAGAAUAAGGGAUGAAGUUUAAUUCCCGAGCCUAGGGGAAAAAGUGUAAUUAUGCAAAAGUUUAGGGGCAAAAAUGUAAUUUUUCUAAAGUUUGUAUUAAAAGCUGUUUUGAUGAAUGUAUGUAUUAAAUAAGAUUAAUUUGGUAUUAUAGAUCAAGAGAAACGAGAUUCAAGUCGCGAUCGAGGGAAAAACAAAGUUUACGAAGAAUAGGCUCGAUUGCUAAUAAUUUUAUACUGAGGUAAGUUCAUGUGUAAAUGUAGUAACAUAAUUGUCAUUUUAAGUAACUUAAUGAUAUUUAUAUGAUAUGAUGAUUAUUAUUAUGAAAUAUUAUGCUUUGUGGUUAUUGUUGAGUAAUAUGCAAAUUAUGUUUAUUACUUGUUAAAUAUGAAUUGCUACCGAGUAUCGGUUUCAAUAUUCCGUGGAAGACGGUAAAGAUGUGUGAUCGAGGAAAAAGCCCAUUUGAACCUUGGGAAUAGAUUAGAAUACAAGUGACAUGUCACUAGGAUACUUGACUUCCGAACUCGUUGAGUUGAGUCCGAGUUCGUGAGAUGUAACUAGGCAUCCGAGCUCGUUGAGUUGAGUCCGAGUUCACUUAUGGGCGAGUUACAUGGUAGCUUGGCUACAUAAGUUCCGUAGGCUAUUGAGUUUGUCUAGCUGCGGGUAUGGCUCUUAUUUUCAUGAGAUCCGCGUAUUCGAAUUAUAUUCUGAUGUGUUCAACAGGUGAAUCUUACAUGAAUAAGAAGAAGGCCUAAAACGAAGGUGACAUGUUGGUAAGUGUGGUAAAUGAGAAAAUUUGAUAGGUAUGUGCUUAAACCCUCGGGUUGAAAACUUGGUAUGAUGAAAUCGUAGAAAGAUAUUAAAUGUAAAUGAAAC